UACGUAGGGGGCAAGCGUUGUCCGGAAUUACUGGGCGUAAAGCGCGUGUAGGCGGGACGGUUAGUCGGACGUGAAAGGCUGGGGCUCAACCCCAGAUCGCCGUUCGAAACUGCCGUUCUUGAGGGUCGAAGAGGAGAAUGGAAUUCCCGGUGUAGCGGUGAAAUGCGCAGAUAUCGGGAAGAACACCCGUGGCGAAGGCGGUUCUCUGGGACGGUACUGACGCUGAGACGCGAAAGCGUGGGGAGCGAACAGG
rnacentral:rRNA from 1 species